UACGAAGGGGGCUAGCGUUGUUCGGAUUUACUGGGCGUAAAGCGCACGUAGGCGGAUCGUUAAGUCAGGGGUGAAAUCCUGGAGCUCAACUCCAGAACUGCCUUUGAUACUGGCGAUCUUGAGUCCGGAAGAGGUGAGUGGAACUCCUAGUGUAGAGGUGGAAUUCGUAGAUAUUAGGAAGAACACCGGUGGCGAAGGCGGCAUCCUGGGCCGGUAUUGACGCUGAGGAGCGAAAGCCAGGGGAGCAAACGGG
rnacentral:rRNA from 1 species